rnacentral:lncRNA from 1 species
UUUAGUUUCUUAUAACAGUUCUAUGUCUCUUCUACUAUUAUGCUUUUACGAGGACCUUCCUUCCAUUAAAGAAAGGUGUUUUAUAACAUUCCCUACAGAGAUAUUACCUUACUAGGCUGGAUCUUAUUUUUAUUGCCUGCCUCCAUUUCUAAUCUGACUGUAUUACUUGGUUUCAUUUCUCAGCUCUGAAUGUUAACAACACUGCACAGAUGGAUGUUGUGAUUUUCUUGCAGAGGUUAUUAAGAUUCUAUUUGCUUCUCCUCCCCAAAGUCAUUAAUAAAGAUGGGGAAAACCAAGUUCAAAAGUAAUCCCUGUGUUAUAACAUUAGAAACUCUCCCCCACCCCAAACCAAAUUUAAAAUGCCAUUACUUAACCCUUCCUUUUGUUUUCUCUCAGUCAGUUGAAUCCCUUUUACUAUGUUCAUGGCAAAAGAAAUGUAGCCCAGUUUUGGGAGUUGAAUUUGAUGAGUCCCUGAUCUUCCGUCAUUGUUAAAGUCAGGAUUUAGGACAUUUUUUUUAAUGAAUUAGUAUUAACUGCAUCAAAAGAGCUUAAUGAGAUUCACCUGGCAUGAUUUAUAAGGUGAUUGUUUUUCAUACUUUGCUGAAAAAGAGACAUGCUUUGAUUUGUUAUGCUUUCAAGGAGUAGAAAACAGCAGCUGGGAAAGGAUACUGAAAAGGGUUGAAGUGCGUUAAGGCGCGGUUGCCCUCCUCUGCAACAGAUUGGUGGGGGUAAUUCUGUGUUCAGGCCAUACCGGUGCAGCAGUCUGAACCAGACAGCAUGCAGAAAGGGAAAAUGGAUAAUUACCUAUGGCCAUUCAUUUAACAAUUGAAUACCCACCCUAGACCCUGGGGUGGCAAUGAUGAAUAAGACGGACACAUUCGUUCCUCUGCAGGCAUGUUAUACUGGGGUUAGCUGACAAGUGGAAAGACCUUUUCAGUACAGGAUAAUCAGUUCUCUUACCCAGGAAGUUCAAAUUGCUGUAGGGGCUCAUUGGCAGAUCAACUACCCUGUUUAGAACUAACAGAUAAUGGACAUCUCAUGUUUGAAACUGUUAGCAGUUCCACUGGAACUGGAAUGGAAUAAAAAUGUUGGACGGGGAGUUCCCAUCAUGGCUCAGCAGAAGUGAAUCUGAUUAGUAUGCAUGAGGAUGCAGGAUUGAUCCCUGGCCUCGCUCAGUGGGUUAAUGAUCCGGUGUUGCCAUGAACUGUGGUGUAGGUUGCAGACGUGGCUUGUUGCUGUGGCUGUGGUGUAGGCCAGCAGCUACAGCUCCGAUUUGACCCCUACCCUGGGAACCUCCAUAUGCCAUGGGUGUGGCCCUAAAAAGACAAAAAAAAAAGUUGGAUGGAUCAACAUAGAAUAUUUAUUUACUUGAGUUAGUUAUUGUAGAUUAAUAAUUUAGUUGUAUUAGUUGACAUAAAAGUAAUUUUUAAGACCGAAAGAGGAAGAAACAUGGGAAGUUUUUAGCAACAGUAUUAAACAAUGGAGUUCCUAUUGUGGCUCAGCAGGUUAAAAACCUGACAUAGUGUCUGUGAGUGGGUGGGUUCGAUCCCUGGCCUUGCUCAGUGGUUAGGGAUUUGGCGUUGCCUCAAGCUGGGGCAUAGGUCACAGAUGCGGCUCGGAUCCGGUGUUGCUGUGGCUGUGGCUAGGCUGGCAGCUGCAGCUCCAAUUCAACUGCUAGCGCAGAAACUUCCAUAUGCUGCAGGUGCAGCCGUAAAGAGAAAAAAAAUAAAACACAUAUGGUACUCCAUAUAAUUCCAUAAAAAUCUGAUAAGAAUGUGCAUAAAUGCAAUAUGAAGCUGUAGAAAGAAUACCAUUGAAUUAUUCACUGAUUACUCUUCAUGGCAUAACUAUAGGUUCUUAGUAGACAUUCGUCUAGUUGUCAGAUAGAAUUAAGGAGAUGCAGAGCAGUAGAAUUAGUUGAAAUUGUAAUUAAGUAUGACUGUAUCAGAGGGCAAACUUCAUUUGGGUUAUUUCCAAUGACUGCGAAGGAGGAGCUUUCCAGGAUUGCUUCCUGAGUGAAGUCCAAAUCAGAUGGUCUCUCAUGGGACCAUCCAAUCCCUUCCCUAACAGGGAAAUAGGUAUCUCUCUCCAGUAAACUUCAGAAAGUGUCCUAAACUUAGGUUGGUGCUUUUGGUAAAUCCCAGGAAUGGAGUCUAUUAUGCAAUCCUGAAACCCUCAAAGCUGGCUUUGCCUCAAAGAAAGGGUACCAGCUGAAAUAAACUAGGAGGCGCAGUGUCCUGACAUGGCCAUCCUGGCCUUUAGACUUGUAGAAAUGCCCCUGGUGCAGAGACAGUGCGUCCCAGUCUCUGUACUCUGCUUUGCCUAUAAGAGCAGUGACCUCUGAAAUUGUUAGUUGGAGAAUCUUAGAUGCAGGCUCCAACAGGUGAAUGUCUUUGUUUACAUUCCUAAGUUAUAUUUUUCAUACUUUUUUGGUUCUGGUCUGUUUUUUAUCAUAUCUCUAUUUUAAAAUUUGCUGCUGUGCUAGAAUCUUCCUGGCUCCAUGAAGGGGGAAUUACUUGAAUGGCUAUUUAUAACAUUUCCCUUUCUCCAUCCCCCUAGUCUUUUGCUCUUUUUGAUUACCUGUAUCUUCUACUCUGUAGCAACUGCCGCUCUUGAUUUCAAGUUCUUCUAAUAUUAGAAAAUAGAAAAAUUUCCUCUCUUUUAAAAUUUCCUUUACUUGUCAAUAUCUCCCUAAAAAAUAAGUAAGAAUGAGGAUACACUAAAACAGUUCACAGAAGUAGAGAGGGGGAUAUAGCAGCAGGACCAAAAGCAAAGGAAUAUAUGGAUUAUGGUUAUCCAUUUUUCUGGGGACUCUACCAUUGAUCAGUCUGGGGACUUUGAUGGUUCCUGCCAUUUUAAAAAUGUUGCUUUCUCUAUUUUGACAAUGAUGUGCUGCAGGUAUGGUCUGCUGAAAAUAAGGCUUGAUUUUAAAAAAUUGCACUUUUAACCUGGAUCCUUCUGAGAUGGCAGAUUAUGAAAAAUGAAUUUGAGAAAUGGAACCUAUUGUGAAAAAUCACAUUUGGAUAAUAACUGAAUAUGUGAAAACCAAGCAAGACUCUAGUAUUUUCCCUCUACUGCAAUGUGGCUACAUACCAAGUGAAAAAUAAUACAUUAACAAUGAAUUCUUGUGGCAGUGGAAUUAUUCAGUACCUUUACACUGGUGCUAAAAUGGUAUCAAACUUGAUAAACACAACCCCACAUACAAAUGAGGAAAAGUAUAACUGAGGAAAUCUGAAUAAGAUUACUGGAUUGUAUAAUGUCAGUUUUCCAGUUGUGAUAGUGUAUUGUAGUUUUGUAAAAUGUUACCCCUGGAGCAGGCUGGGAAAAUAUACAGAGGCGCUCUAUUAUUUCUUAUAACUGCAUGUGACUCUAUAAUUAUUUCAAUUAACAUUUCAGUUAAAAAGACUUGCAAUGAAAUCUGUCUGGUUGAUGAUGACUUUGCUUUUGAAAAAAUAAGUCAGCCCAAACGACUUUAAAAAUGAGGGCAUGAGGAUAUGGUUGCAAAGGGAAAACAUCUCUGGAAAUUUUAGCUAACUACUUUACUUGUAAGAAGAAUAUCUUAAUCUAACAGUUUUUUGGAAGGUUUAAUUUAAAAGUUUCAGAGUAAUAUAAGCAAUUUUGAAAUAAUGCAUAAAGAUUCACUUUCAGUGAAUUUUAAAAUGAUGUUAGAAUUGUCAUAUGCGGGGAUUUAAAUGAAAAGAGUUGAAUAGUAGGCACUAUGAUAUAAUUACAUGAUUAUUUAGGGAGCAGAGACUAUAUUCGUUAUGUUUCACAAUCUGUAAAAGAUGAGUUCUUUCCCUUCCCAUCCAGAAGGUAACCUAAACACAUAAAAUCAAGUAACAGGUAAUAAAAAUGCUGAGUUUAUCAUUCCAGGUUAUUGUUUGCCAUUUGAGUGUCUGUGUGUGUGUGAUGUGACCUUGGGAGGCCACAUUCUGUCUACCUGUUCCCUUAGUCAAAGCAUUCUCUGAACUCUCCUUUUGAAAAUGCCUUUGGACACUAUGACGUUAAUUUGGAUAUUGUCUGGGGAAGGACUGUUUGUUUUUUGAGGAGGGUGAAAUAGUCCAGAUCUACCAAGUUAAGUCUGGUGAAGAAAAUGGUAGUUGAGAUUCAGUCAUAUUCCAUUGGGUCAAAAACAAGGGGUUAAUGUAAAACAGUGCAUUUGCUUUUCCUGUGUGGUUUAUUUAUUGAUUCUGAAAAUAAAGUAAGAAAACUUUAGAGCUCAGAGGGGUAAACCUGUAGGACACUCGUUUCUGGGAGUAUGUUUGCCAUGUAGCCAGUUUUAUGACUCUGUGAGCAAAUUUUACACAUAAUACAAUUUGGCAGGUUAGGUAUAAACCAAUCAACCAAGACAUAUUUGUUGAAUACCUGCUAUAUUCCAAAUGAUGAAGGAAUAAGAAGAGUUAGAUAUAUUUCAACCCAGUGAGAUGAUCCUAUUUCAGAUGUUUCAUUUACUCCCUCUACUUAAUUAUUAAUGGACAGACUUACUGCUCUUGACCCAUUUUAUUGAGAGAUGGGUGCUUACUGCAUCCUGGAUUGUGUAUCCAGAGUGGAGUACCUCGCUGGUCUAUGCAAAACUGGAUCCUUGUGGGUCGGAGCUGCUAAGUGCAAGGAACCCUUGUUGACACUGAGCAGAAGGCACCCUGCCAACUCCUAGGAUGAGCUGAUAAAGAGUUUGGGAGAACUCUCACUCUGGACAUUCUGGGGAGAUUUCCUUCUUCAUGGUAAGAGUUGAGAAGUGCUUCUUGAGUCCUUAACCCUAGGAAGGUUAUGCUUUCUCCCCACAAGGGCGCCCAAGCAAAUGCCGUCUUCCCUCUAGUUCAGCUGCAGUUCAAUUCCAAGGUCAAGAAAUCAGGGAAUCCUCCAGGUGUUGGGUGUUGUGCUUGAGAAUGAAAUUGUAGGCUCUGUGUAAACAGAAAUUAAAUCUUCAUCACAUAGGGCUCUGUGAAUUACCCAGAGGCUCUACUCUGCGCCCACAGAUUGUGGGGUGUGAUCAAGGUACUGAAUAUCCAUGUUGCUUCCCCAGUCAGCCUUGUUUCUGCAUGUUAAUAUCUUUGAUCAAGGAUGCAAAGUGAUUUUAAUCUUCUUGCUUCUGUGUUGAAGAAUGAACUUCUUUGCCAUCUCAAAUCAGUUAUGCAAAAAUUUAAUUUAAUGACCUAUUGAGGUCUACAGACUAUGAAAAUAAACAGUAUAUGAGUAUAAAACAAUAAUUGUGUAGAUAAAAUCAUAACAGAAAUAUUUGGUUUACAGGUAUCACAAAAGAACAACUCACUUUUAGAGGGAGAGAAUACAUAGUAUAGAUAACUAGGUAUGUUAAAAAAGAGGAGGGAUCAAAAAAAAAAAGGAGAAUUGGAAUAAAUUGGUAUUUUUCAAUUUUUGUAUUUCUUUAUCUCCAGGUUUUGUGGGCUCCCAUUCCAUGAUAAAAAUUUCCCUAUUAUUAUUCUCUUGGUGGGCCUUGUUAUUAGAGAAAAACUAAAAAUGGAUCCUCCUUUGCUACAUUUUGGUUGAGCAACUUUAUUUUUGGAUUCAGUCAGCAUGAAUAUAAGGCUUUUAUUCAAAUCAAGCUUAUAAAAUAAAAUAUUCUUUCUUUCAAAUUUGCCUCUGUAGCCUAUACCCCUCAUCGGAUGUCAAGAUUAAUUCAGUCAUAGUGAAUACAAGGCUAAUUCUUUACAUAAGAAAGAAAGCAUUGUUUUCCUACAAAUGAGUAGAAACUGCUGAAAGACAGGGCCCCAGCACUGAGCUUUUAUCUCAAGUUCCUGGGAGAGUCAAGGUGCUAAGAGAUAUUAUCCAUUCUCCUCCCAGAUAUUUUUAAAGAUCCCUAGGCCUCCCAUGUGCUAGAAGGUGAGGGAGGAUUUAAAGUCUUUCUGAGAAUGAUUCCUCACCUUACUGUGGUUUUCUAUUACUAAUACAAUACUUAUUUUCCCAAUAUCUGUGACACUUUUUUUUUUUUCCUCCAAGGUAAUGAACACAGGUGACUUCUCUUAAGAAACAGAAUAGUUAAAAGCACCAGAUUUGUUUACACUUAACUUGAAGUGGUUCAAAAUUUUCACCCUCUAAUAUACUUGUUUUUUCUAAGAGAAGCACAGCUAUGUGUUUAUGAAGACUAAAGAAAUUUAACUUUGGAGAAGGAAUGUAACAUUUCAGCUGCUGUUGCCUUUGUUAUUAGCUAUUAUUUAAACCAGGAACUCUAAUUUUCUCUCCUGGGUCUCUCUACUGUCAAGGGUGCAACGGUGUCUCUGAAUGCUGCAGAAGCAGGAAUGAAUCCCUUUUGGCAGUAGAGGCAUUCCAAAAUGUGGAAUAGAGUUUCCACAGGGAAAGAGAUUUUUGCCUCUUCUGUUUGAUGUUCUGACGUGACACAGUAGACCCUCCAGUCCAUUAUUUGUGGAAUGAAUGAAUCAAUUCUCAAGAAAAACUGUGGGCUGUGGGUUUGUUGGAACUUGAUUUCCAGACUUUCACUUGGGGAGGAAAAUGUUAUCAGUGAGUGCCACUGAUGCCUUUUUCCUUUUUUAUUCUAAGAAAAUCUUGCUUCCCCUUCUUCCAGGCUUGAUAUCUGAGGGAACAGAACUCUGUGGCCUAGAUUACCAAACUCUAAUUUCUUCAAGGGGUAUAGUUGAGAAUUUGGAAAGCCUCGGAAUGGCUGCAUCCGCCUUGUAGAGAAGUACCAAUCAGCAGAGGGUCAGGGCCACAUGGCCAGCUGGGCUGGGGGCCCGCCAGUUGUGGAAGCCUUUCUCAGACUCAUCAAAUGCAUGCCUUAGACCUGGCUAAUAAAGUAUAAACCAACAACCAAUGAUUGCAUUUUAGAGUUAUUUUUUCGUCAUAAAAUACUCAAAGGAUGUGAAGAUAGGUUGGAAUGUGUAAAGAAAAGCUAAGAAAGCAGAAUUUUGAUAAGACGAGCAUGUGACUUGUAUAACAGCUCUGAAUCACAGUCUCAAGGAUGGAAUGCUGACAGUUCCUUUCUUACUUGUGAUCGCUAGCAUUUUAUUUCCUCCUGUAACAGAUCACUUUUGAGCCAAUCUUAAGAUGAGAAACUACUUUGAAGAAUUAUGCAUAACGUGGGUUGUAUCUCCCUUGUUAUCAGUGGGGCUUCCACUGCUUAUAGGUGAAUGGAGAUGAUGCCAUGUCUUUGGACAUAACAGCUUUUGAUAGACCAAAUAAUUCCUUUCGAGCCAUGCAGUUGUCUGUAAAUCUGCUUAGUUGGUCCUCCAGAGUGAUGACAUUUAAGGUACAGUUGAUACACUGCUUAUCUCAAAGAAACAUUUUAAAAUUAAUUCGUCAGACCUGUGCAAUAUUUUAUCUUUUCGGUUUAAUAAUAUCCAAAUGUGCUUUAGUUGCUUU